AUUAAACACGAACCACUUGAUUGAAAACAUGUCUUCUUGAAUGUUCUCUUUCCUUAUCUCACUCUGGAAUUGUCAUUAUCUAUUCUUCAACUACUUUUUCAACACCUAAACCGAUUCUUCUCCAACUUGUCUCCUUCCAUAGCCCAAAACUCUCUCUCACUGGUUUCUUCCUUCUUCUAUUCCGAUUAAAACACCUUUUAAUAUUCAGUCACUGUUCUCUUCAACUCCUCACUCCUGUUUUUGUGAAUUCCAUCAACAACUCCUGUGAAGAGAGUGCGAAUGAAUGAAGUGGUGGACCCGUUGAACAGUUUGUUGACAGAAGAUAGAGAGCACAGAUGAACAUACCCAAAAGGCUUUGUGUGUGUGCAGUUUUGUGCUCUCUGAUCUUCUGUCAAUGUACUCAGUUUCUCACCAACUCUUCUUUAGUUUCUUGAUUUCAUAUGAGAAUUGAAUACCCUUUGGUUUGGUUUGAUUUCCUUGAACAUGCAAAUUUCUCAAUGAAAAAACUCAGGUAAGUACUUGCUGUAUGUUAGCAUACACAUACACAUACACAUAUCUGUGUUGUUUGUGCUGCAAAAACUGUGACACUGCAUUCGAAAGCACAUGUUAAAAAAGCUAUCAGAAAACACUCAAAAUUUGUCUUUGCUUUUUCAGCAGUUUCUUUCUUGAAUCGUUGGCUGCAUGAUGAUUUUGUUGUUUAGUUAACUAUAUUUAUGUAUAAAAUAUGAAGUGUUCACUCAACGCAGCACUGAGCAAGCAAAGCACAUCUUCACCUUCAGCAGUUGACUUGACUGAGUCAGAUGUGCUUUGUGAGCGGUUAGAGUUGAAGUUUACCUAACACAGGUUGAGAGAAUCUUCAGAAUGCGUUGGAGAUUGAAGGGAAACAAAGUUUAGCUGUCACAGCAGAUAAGUAAGGAUACGUGCUCCCUGCUCACAUCUAUUUUUGGACAAAUUGGAAAAGCCUUGUCUUUUGUCCUUUCUCACUCCAAAUUUGAAACUUCAACCUCUGCUUGUACUCCUCUUUUGGCCUCUUCCUCCAUUUUUCUUUCAAGUUUUUGGUCUAUCAGACUACAAAAUAUGUAACAGAAUCUUUUAUCAUUUACAAAUGCAUAAACAAUCAUGCCAA